UGGUUAUCAAUCUGUACAAAGAAUCACCAAACUGAUAAAGCAGGAACCAGAGGGCAAAUCACGCUGCCAAGACAACUGUGUAAUUCGCUCGAAAAAGAAACGGUGAGCCUCUCCAGCAGACUGGGUAAACUGGCAAGGGAUUUUACGACAUAGUUGGAGAUUGGAGAGUUACAGAAACUUUUCCGGUUUUUUACAAGUUUUAAAGGAGUGAUUGAGUGUCAAAGGAAAAGCAGAGAAAAUACAGGCACAAUUUAAAGACAGCAGGAAGAAGAGUGUUCAGAGAGCAUUUUUCUCUUUAGGGUGAAGUUUGAAAGCAUCAUGCCCAGAUUAUCAGUGGAUUUUUGAAAGAUGGAGUCUCGCUCUGUCACCCAGGCUGGAGUAUAGUGGUGUGAUCUUGGCUCACUGCAACCUCUGCCUCCCAGGUUCAAGCGAUUCUCCUGCCUCAGCCUCUCGAGUAGCUGGAAUUACAGAAGACAAUGUAUAUAAAAAUAUGCAAGAAUCACAGGAAACCCACAUAUCCAACCACCUAGAUGAAGUUGUUGCUGCUGUUAGCAUCACUCAUAGAAAGAAGUUCCAAAACAAGCUGCUUCAGACAGCACUAUUCCAGCCUCCUCGAGAGAAACUCCACCUCUGUGAAGAGAAAGCAAAGUCCUAUUCC
rnacentral:lncRNA from 10 species